CACGCAGGCGGUUUGUUAAGUCAGAUGUGAAAUCCCCGGGCUCAACCUGGGAACUGCAUUUGAAACUGGCAAGCUAGAGUCUCGUAGAGGGGGGUAGGAAUUCCAGGUGUAGCGGUGAAAUGCGUAGAGAUCUGGAGGAAUACCGGUGGCGAAGGCGGCCCCCUCGGACGAAGACUGACGCUCAGGUGCGAAAGCGUGGGGAGGCAAAACA
rnacentral:rRNA from 1 species